rnacentral:rRNA from 1 species
GACGUAGGGCGCGAGCGUUGUCCGGAUUUAUUGGGCGUAAAGAGCUCGUAGGCGGCCUGGCAAGUGGAUGGUGAAAUCCCUCGGCUUAACCGAGGAACUGCCAUCCAGACUGCUUGGCUUGAGACCGGGAGAGGUGAGUGGAAUUCCCAGUGUAGCGGUGAAAUGCGUAGAUAUUGGGAGGAACACCAGUGGCGAAGGCGGCUCACUGGACCGGUACUGACGCUGAUGCGCGAAAGCGUGGGGAGCAAACGGG